CUCCCCUUAUGAAUAGUGUGAUGACGACUUUACCCCUGCUUGUCUCAAGUAAAUCUCGAUUGCCCCGGAGUGUUGUGCUGUCUGUUUCUGGCCAUCUGCCGUGUUGUUCUGUUGCCACGAAGAGAGAGGGUUUGAUCAAUAGCCUGGAAGAGAGAGGUACAGUAUUGAUUUGAUCCAAAGAGACAUAAGAGAGAGAGGGCCAGGAGUUUGCAUGACCGGCGAUUUCAGCUGUUUUGGCGCAGAGAUUUUGGUUGUCCUUUGCUGACGAGUUGUUUACUCUAUUUGGUUGGAGCGCAAGAAUUCUUUAGCUGGCAUAGAUUUGGGAUGCCUACCAGUCCUUAUAUUUAUGCAAACAGCCUGAUAGAAGUCCUAAAGAAGAAUCAUGUUGCUGGGACAUGUAAAAGCUCUCCACAGUGAGAAAGAGAGAGAUUUCUAGAAAGUUCAAGUUCAAACUAAGAGAGAAGAAACAAAGAAAUAGAAAAAAGAAAAGACGUUUGUUUCCUAUAUGGUUCUGUUCUUGCUUUUUCUUCAUCAGAUUUUUGUUUUCUAGAUUUUAGUGGUGUUGGUUUGAUUUUUUAUGUUAUCUCUUCAAUUUAUCAGACAAUGUAAACAGAACCCUAUUGAAGCCAUGAAGAUAUUUUUAUGGAAAGUAUAGCCUAUAGAUGAUUUCUUGGUUGUACUCCAGUGAUAUAGAAAUGAUUAAUGUUUAUGAAAAGUAUGUUAGAUGAUCAAUAUAAAAAAAUGAUUUGUGUUA